UCUGAUUUCUGCUGUAAUUUUGAAGAUACAGUUCAAAAGUUAGUCAGAAUUUGUAUUUUGGCUGUAAGGAAUUUUUUUCUUCCAAGGAAAGUUAGUAGUAAUUACCUUGAAUACGUGAAAUGGAAGUUUGUUCAUCGUGUUUCCAGUUCUGCUCUCCAAAUUUUUGCCACCCAGGUUCAUAUUAUUUUAAGUUUCAGUAUUAAAGUUGUAAAUUAUGUGGAAGCUUGUUCAUCGUGUUUCCAGUUCUGCUCUCCAAAUUUUUGCCACCCAGGUUCAUAUUAUUUUAGUGUUUCAGCUAUUAAAGUUGUAAAUUAUUGUUAUACAGUGAAAAGUCC
rnacentral:lncRNA from 1 species